rnacentral:lncRNA from 1 species
AAUCAACCCAACCCGACCCAACCCGUAAAACUGCGGGUUGGGUUGAGAUAUGUAAUGGGUUGGGUCGGGUUGAAAAUGUGCCCACCCCUAGUACAAUUAUAGUAUCAUAUCACAGCUGCACUUAAUUAUUAGAUCCAACUACUUAGUUAUUGGCUAGGUGCAGUUGUGGUAUGAUAUCACAUUGCACCAUAACUAGGCCUAAUAUUUCACCUCUCAAUUUUAUUUUGUUAACAUUCACUUUU